GACGAACGCUGGCGGCGUGCUUAACACAUGCAAGUCGAACGGAAAGGCCCUGCUUUUGUGGGGUGCUCGAGUGGCGAACGGGUGAGUAACACGUGAGUAACCUGCCCUUGACUUUGGGAUAACUUCAGGAAACUGGGGCUAAUACCGGCUAGGAGCUCCUGCUGCAUGGUGGGGGUUGGAAAGUUUGGGCGGUUGGGGAUGGACUCGCGGGUUAUCAGCUUGUUGGUGGGGUAGUGGCUUACCAAGGCUUUGACGGGUAGCCGGCCUGGGAGGGUGACCGGCCACCUUGGGACUGAGAUAGGGCCCAGACUCCUACGGGAGACAGCAGUGGGGAAUAUUGCACAAUGGGCGGAAGCCUGAUGCAGCAACGCCGCGUGCGGGAUGACGGCCUUCUGGUUGUAAACCGCUUUCGCCUGUGACGAAGCGUGAUUGACGGUAAUGGGUAAAGAAGCACCGGCUAACUACGUG
rnacentral:rRNA from 1 species